rnacentral:lncRNA from 1 species
UGAUGAGAUUAUUAAAGCAGUAAAAUUUCUUCUUGACUAUAUCUAUGAAGGUUUCAGCAAUAAAGGGAAAAAGUUGUGCCCUUUUAAUAGCAGACAAGUUCCUCCUGUAUUGCAAUGAAGCACAGUGCAUAACCUAACUUAGUCAAGAUCCUUCUUAAUUUCGUUGAAUUGAUAAAUUGAAUGUGAUAUUGUUUUCAUUAAAUGAUGAUUAAUUCUCUAAAUAUACUGCAAUUUACGCACUACUAGGAAUGUGUUUUUUUAAUUUGAUAGAUGGUUUUUGUGUUUUUUGUAUAUGUUUGUUUGUCUUGAGAUUGUAACAGUGAUGACUGCUGUAACCAUAUUUUUUUACUAUUUGCCGAGUAUGUCUGUUUUGUUCACGCAUCGUUGUAAAAAAACGGAAUGUGGUGCGACUGUCAUAAAAGUGAGAGGUUCAGCGCUAUAAAACCAGGUUCAAUCCACCAUUUUCUACAUUUGAAAAUGCCUUUAUCGUCAGGAAUAUGACAGUGUUGUUGUCCAUUCGUUUGAUGUGUUUUAUCCUUUGAUUUUGCCAUUUGAUUAGGGACUUUCCGUUUUAAGUUUUCCUCGGAGUUCAGUAUUUU